UUACGAUUUUUCUGAUUUUCUGGUGAAAAAAGUGAUUUUUCUGUGCACUACUUGAGCUUAUUCUGUUCCGUAAGGCCUGUUUAAUCUCCUGUAACUGUCUUUUAGAAUAAAUCAGUGUUAGUAUACCCAGUAAUAUCACACAAGAGAAUGGUGUCUUUCUGUAUCCUUCCCCAGAAGAGGAGACCUGGAUCAUCUUCUAACUUUGAUGUUCGGCCAUCAAUAACCUGCAUAGCAAGUACAAGUACCUGAGGAAGUUACUACCCUCCAUGUCUAAAAGCUGGCUGAGGGUUUAUCUUUGACCAUAGGUUAAAUUAGCUGGGGCAAGAAGACAUGUUAAUAAUACCACACAAGAGAACCGUGUCUUUCUGCGGAGGUUUUAUAAAGGUUUAGCUCCAUCUUCGAUUACUGCAGUACAAGAAAUUCAAAACAUGUUAAUAAUACCACACAAGAGAACGGUGUCUUUCUGCAUCCUUCCACAAAAGAGGGGACCUGGAUCAUCCUCUGACUCUGAUGUUUGGCCAUUGGAGACCUGCAUAGCAUAUUUUAAAAAGAAUGUUAUUAACAAUACACACCUGCACAUAGAGACCACCUAAAAGAAGAGACCUGGGUCACCCCUUGUAUAAUCCUGACGUUUCGCCAUCAUUCUGGUUUACAAGUUGUUCUUCCAUUGUGUGAUGAAUGUUUAAUUUCUUAAAAAUAAUUUUAAUAAAUUAUUAAAAAUUUAUUAACAGACUAAGAAAAAUAAAAUAAACACAAUUAUUUUAACAUACCUAAUUAAUAAAACAUAAUAUUAUAUAUUUCUUUGUUACAGAUUUUCUACAACAAAUCGAUGGAUGUAUACAGUUCCAUGGUAGUGUAUUUAUCCUUUUGAUGAAUAUUACCAACAAUCUGGCAUCAGGACAGCUGCACUUUAAUUCAACCACCUUCUUCAAGAUAUCAUUAGAUUGAUUAAAUCCAACAUUCAACAGUGGAAUGAGGAUGAAAUUCAUUAUUGAAGAGGAACUAUGUAAUUUAUGCAAUUUUUUUCAAAUCCACUUACCUCUAUUUCUUUUAUAUGUAUUUGAUAUUAUCUUCAUUCUGCGAAAUCUUCUACUCUCUUUCUGAGUUAUCAGUCAUUAUUCACUUGUAUUAUUUUUUAUAUUGUAUCAUUCUUUGUAUUUCUAAAUCUCUUCUUUUAUUUGUAUUCUUGUUUAUGUUACAGCUAUUAUUUAAGGCUCCCAAGUCUUUCAUCUUAUUUCUUUUGAAGCCUACAUGGAGUUGUAUAAUUUUGGAUUUAUUUUCUAAUAGUUGAUUGCUUCUUUUCAUCCUAUUUCUAAUUCCUUCUAAAAUUUUUGAAUGGGAUAUUGUACCGCUUUAGAACAAGAGAACAAGGAUUUUUUGCGACAACUCCACUUCAAUUCAACCACCCUCUUCCAGAUACCAUCACAUUGAUUAUUUCAACAUUUAACAGCAUAUUGAGGAUGAAUUUCAUGAUGAGAGGCGCUCAAUAACUUUAGAACCAAGACUUUCCAGAAAGUUAGCCAAAAGAUUUAUUUACCCAACAUAUAUAGACGUCAGCGUGUCCAUCAGCACCUUGGAUUUUAAUAUACUUUUUAUAUUACUAUGGUUAAUACAGAC